CCUACGGGGGGCAGCAGUGAGGAAUAUUGGUCAAUGGCCGGAAGGCUGAACCAGCCAUGCCGCGUGAAGGUCAGUGCCCUAUGGGCGUUAAACUUCUUUUGUGCGGGAGCAAUAAUGGUCACGUGUGGCCAGACGAGAGUACCGUACGAAUAAGCAUCGGCUAAAUCCGUGCCAGCAGCCGCGGUAAUGCGGGGGAUGCAAGCGUUAUCCGGAUUUAUUGGGUUUAAAGGGUGCGUAGGCUGUGAGGUAAGUCAGCAGUGAAAUGCACCCGCUCACCGGGGUGAAGUGCCAUUGAUACUGCCUUGCUUGAAGGCGGAUGCCGUGGGAGGAAUGUGUGGUGUAGCGGUGAAAUGCAUAGAUAUCACACAGAACACCGAUUGCGAAGGCAUCUCACGAAUCCGCGAUUGACGCUGAUGCACGAAAGCGUGGGUAUCAAACAGGAUGAGAUAACCUUGUAGUC
rnacentral:rRNA from 1 species